AGUCUUGGCCUCCCAGAGCCCCGCAGACGGCUCACGAUAACCAAGGACGACCGCGAACCAAGGUAAAGCCAACGAGGCCACCUCGUGCGCGACGGAGGCGUCUUUGCCGCCCCUUCCGGGACGCUCACGGUGGUCGCCGCCCCCAGCAGGGAAAUGUUUUGCCUCCGGAGUGUCCGCCCAGAAGAAGUGGGCAGUGCGCUUGCGCAAGAGAGCCAGGCAGCAGCGGCCCGCGCCUGCGCACCAGGACUCGGCGGCGGCUUGCGCCUGCGCGGCGCGGCGCUGCGGAGACCGUUGGUUCAUUUGCAUGUCCCCGCCUCGCGCGGCGGCGGCGGCGGGGCAAAAUAACAUGGCAGCCAGACGAAUUACACAGGAGACUUUUGAUGCUGUAUUACAAGAAAAAGCCAAACGAUAUCACAUGGAUGCCAGUGGUGAGGCUGUAAGCGAAACUCUUCAGUUUAAAGCUCAAGAUCUCUUAAGGGCAGUCCCAAGAUCCAGAGCAGAGAUGUAUGAUGACGUCCACAGCGAUGGCAGAUACUCCCUCAGUGGAUCUGUAGCUCACUCUCGAGAUGCCGGAAGAGAAGGCCUGAGAAGUGACGUAUUUCCAGGGCCUUCCUUCAGAUCAAGCAACCCUUCCAUCAGUGAUGACAGCUACUUUCGCAAAGAAUGUGGCCGGGAUCUGGAAUUUUCUCACUCUGAUUCUCGGGACCAGGUCAUUGGCCACCGGAAAUUGGGGCAUUUCCGUUCUCAGGACUGGAAAUUUGCGCUCCGUGGUUCUUGGGAACAAGACUUUGGCCAUCCAGUUUCUCAAGAGUCCUCUUGGUCACAGGAGUAUAGUUUUGGUCCCUCUGCAGUUUUGGGGGACUUUGGAUCUUCCAGGCUGAUUGAGAAAGAGUGUUUGGAGAAGGAGAGUCGGGACUAUGACGUGGACCAUCCUGGGGAGGCUGACUCUGUGCUUAGGGGCAGCAGUCAAGUCCAGGCCAGAGGUCGAGCUCUAAACAUUGUUGACCAGGAAGGUUCCCUCCUAGGAAAGGGGGAGACUCAGGGCCUGCUCACAGCUAAGGGGGGUGUUGGGAAACUUGUCACAUUGAGAAAUGUGAGCACAAAAAAAAUACCCACCAUGAAUCGUAUUACUCCCAAAACUCAGGGCACUAACCAAAUCCAGAAAAACACUCCAAGUCCUGAUGUGACCCUGGGGACAAACCCAGGGACAGAAGAUAUCCAGUUCCCCAUUCAGAAGAUCCCUCUGGGGCUGGAUCUGAAGAAUCUUCGGCUCCCCAGAAGAAAGAUGAGCUUUGACAUCAUAGAUAAGUCUGAUGUUUUUUCAAGAUUUGGGAUAGAAAUAAUCAAAUGGGCAGGAUUCCACACCAUAAAAGAUGAUAUUAAAUUUUCCCAACUUUUCCAGACUCUCUUUGAACUUGAAACAGAAACCUGUGCUAAAAUGCUUGCCUCAUUCAAAUGUUCCUUAAAACCAGAGCACAGAGAUUUUUGCUUUUUUACUAUCAAAUUUUUAAAGCACUCUGCUUUGAAAACACCCAGAGUUGAUAAUGAAUUUUUAAACAUGCUUUUAGACAAAGGUGCUGUGAAGACCAAAAAUUGCUUUUUUGAAAUCAUAAAGCCUUUUGACAAGUACAUAAUGAGACUUCAAGACCGGCUUCUGAAGAGUGUCACACCUUUGCUUAUGGCCUGCAAUGCCUACGAGCUGAGUGUCAAGAUGAAGACCCUCAGUAACCCCCUGGACUUGGCUCUUGCCCUAGAAACCACCAAUUCUCUCUGCCGGAAGUCUUUGGCCCUUUUGGGACAGACAUUCUCCUUGGCCUCUUCUUUCCGGCAAGAGAAAAUUUUAGAAGCUGUCGGCCUGCAAGAUAUAGCUCCCUCACCUGCUGCAUUUCCAAACUUUGAAGACUCCACUUUGUUUGGGCGAGAGUACAUAGACCACCUGAAGGCCUGGCUAGUCAGCAGUGGAUGUCCCCUCCAGGUUAAGAAAGCCGAACCAGAGCCGACGCGAGAGGAGGAGAAAAUGAUUCCUCCUACGAAACCCGAAAUGCAGGCCAAGGCUCCAAGUAGUCUGAGUGAUGUAGAGAUGGAGUUUCACCAUGUUGCCCAGGCUGGUCUCGAACUCCUGAGCUCAGGCAAUCCACCCCACUCGGCCUCCCAAAGUGCUGGGAUUACAGCUGUCCCCCAGCGAGCAGAUCACAGGGUAGUGGGCAUCAUUGACCAGCUUGUGAAACGUGUCAUCGAAGGUGGCCUGUCUCCCAAAGAGAGAACUCUUCUCAAAGAGGACCCUGCUUACUGGUUUUUGUCUGAUGAAAAUAGUCUGGAGUAUAAAUAUUACAAGCUGAAGUUGGCAGAAAUGCAGCGGAUGAGCCAGAACUUGCGAGGAGCCGACCAGAAGCCGACCUCGGCAGAGUGUGCGGUGCGGGCGAUGCUGUACGCCCGGGCUGUCCGCAACCUCAAGAAGAAACUCCUUCCGUGGCAGCGGCGGGGGCUCCUCCGUGCUCAAGGGCUCCGGGGCUGGAAGGCGAGGAGAGCGACCACCGGGACCCAGACCCUCCUAUCCUCAGGCACCAGGCUGAAACACCACGGCCGGCAGGCUCCAGGCCUCUCACAGGCAAAACCAUCCCUGCCAGACAGAAAUGAUGCUGCCAAGGACUGCCCGCCAGACCCAGUCGGACCUUCUCCUCAGGCCCCCAGCUUAGAAGCCUCAGGCCCAUCCCCCAAGCCAGCAGGAGUGGACAUCUCUGAAGCACCUCAGACCUCUUCUCCCUGCCCAUCUGCUGACAUUGACAUGAAGACAAUGGAGACUGCAGAGAAACUGGCUAGAUUUGUUGCCCAGGUGGGACCAGAGAUCGAACAAUUCAGCAUAGAAAACAGCACCGAUAACCCUGACCUGUGGUUUCUACAUGACCAAAAUAGUUCUGCUUUCAAAUUCUAUCGAAAGAAAGUGUUUGAACUAUGUCCAUCAAUUUGUUUCACGUCAUCUCCGCACAACCUUCACACUGGUGGCGGUGACACCGCGGGUUCUCAGGAGAGCCCCGUGGACCUCAUGGAAGGGGAAGGAGAGUUUGAAGACGAGCCCCCUCCGCGGGAGGCUGAGCUGGAGAGCCCAGAGGUGAUGCCUGAGGAGGAGGACGAGGACGAUGAGGAUGGGGGAGAGGAGACCCCUGCUUCCGGAGGGGCGGGCAAGUCUGAGGGCAGCACCCCUGCCGACGGCCUUCCUGGCGAGGCUGCCGAGGAUGACCUGGCUGGAGCACCUGCCCUGUCACAGGCCUCCUCAGGUACCUGCUUCCCCCGGAAGAGGAUCAGCAGCAAGUCAUUGAAGGUUGGCAUGAUUCCAGCUCCCAAGAGAGUGUGUCUCAUCCAGGAGCCAAAAGUCCAUGAACCAGUUCGAAUUGCCUAUGACAGGCCUCGGGGUCGUCCCAUGUCCAAAAAGAAGAAACCCAAGGACUUGGACUUUGCCCAGCAGAAGCUGACCGAUAAGAACCUGGGCUUCCAGAUGCUGCAGAAGAUGGGCUGGAAGGAGGGCCAUGGCCUGGGCUCCCUCGGAAAGGGCAUCCGGGAGCCGGUCAGCGUGUACGCAGCAGGCAGCCUGGGGUGGGAGUGGGUGGGGCCUCAGUCCUUCCACUUGCAGCCUGACGCUUGGCUCCCUCACAGCCAAGAUGGCUUACAGCUGGCAGUUGAUUUUUGUUUUUUAAACAAAAGGCAUCUUCAGAUGAGAAGCUGAUCACUUACAUGUGCAAGUGUUUACAGGGCUCCUUUCUGUCUUGGUGUAGAUUUUUUAACCAGCUUGUUGGCCCUGGUCAUUUUGGCCACAUUUGUUACCAUCAUAAAAGCUAAGUGAUAUUUCUGUGUAGUUUCGGCCUGGAACCACUUUCCCAUUCCCGGGAACCCAUAGCCGGGCCAGCCAGGGCCCAAAGUUUAUUAAACCCCGAUCAUAACAUCCAGCAGGCAUUUCAUUUAAUACUGAGCUUAGUCCCUGCUGGGUAAGGCAUUCCGAGGUAACAAGGGCCCUCUGGGCACCCCCUCAAAAGCCAGCUCUUCUUCGAGGGUGAGUACUCCUUGUUUCCACUGUGAGUCGCGUCUUGAUUUUCCCUUUCUUUGAUGUUUCAGUGUGUGUCCCAAACACCUGUAUCUCAUGGACUGUUUGCGCCCAUGCCCAGUUCCUGGCAUGCCAGGCGCUGGGCUCAGGUGCACAACUGACUCUCUUUUUCACUCCCUAGGGGAACCCCCUCGGAAGGGGAAGGGUUGGGUGCUGACGGGCAGGAGCACAAAGAAGACACAUUCGAUGUGUUCCGACAGAGGAUGAUGCAGAUGUACAGACACAAGCGGGCCAACAAAUAGAUCAAAACCACUGAUGUGAAAGAUAAGCCUUGAAGCAGCAAUUGCCCUUAAAACAUCAUCCCUGCCCUGGAUCGGCCUGGAGCCAGUGCCCAAGUACGGUUUGGUGUGUACAUGAAAACAAACGUCUCUGCAGUCUCUGGGGCGGAGGUUUCGCUGGCUUUUCUUUCUCUCAAAGAAAAAAACAUGCACCAUUUUCAAUGUGCUUUUGCCUCUCCUCUCUGUUCACAUGCUUUUAGCAGCAAGUCCCCUCCAAAUCUGUGUUGGUUCCCCUUCAGAAGGUGGCGCUGCCCCCGAAAGGCACCUCAGCCUGUGAGUGCUGAGGACCAGCUCCUCUGGCUGGUUUUCCAGUUGGACUGGCCAUUGCUCUCCAGAAGUGCUCUGUUAGCAAACGUGAUGUGGAAACGAUCACAGAUGGUGUUUUCUCGUUGUUCGCCAGAAUUUAUACGGGGGAGACAAAUCGGUAAUUACCAAGUCUGUACUCGGGUACCAAAGCUCUGAAGCUCUCUGAACAGUUGCCAUACUUGAGUUGAUGAAUGUGUUAUUCAUGGUGUCUCAUCUCUUCAAUGCAUCUUGAGAGACUUAAUGAAAUUUUAGCAACAGUAUAGAAUAGCUCUAUCGGGUGGGGAGUAAUCAUUAAACAGAUGAAAUCGGCCCCAGAUUUACAUGUCUCUUUAGAAUCCACAGUGUAAGCAAACUACAGUUACAAAGGGAUGGGGGUUGUAAACCCUCUGAGACUCUGCACUUUUUGCACGUAUAGCAUCGUCAAGUGCUGUCUUAUUACAGCCUUUGUAAGGAGAGGCAGGCUCCUCCUGGGGUGGGCUCUGCAGCUGCUCUAUUUCCAGGCAUGUGAUCGCCGCCGCUCUCCAGAUUCCCCAGCACUCCACUGCGUGUAACUCCACUCAGUUAUCCACUCAUCCUUCCUUGUGAAGCAGGAGCGUUGAAGUUUUAAAUAUGGGCAAAAAUCUGGAAAACUUAGGAUCCCCCUGACACCCCAGGAUUAGAGGACACAGCAGUGGCUAGGGCAUCAGCCACAGAACUGAGCGGGAAAUGCCAGUUGUAUUGGCUGUAAAGAAAUCCUGGCUUUGGUCCAGGCGCAGUGGCUCAAGCCUGUAAUCCCAGCACUGUAGGAGGCUGAGGCGGGUGGAUCACCUGAGGUCAGGAGUUUGAGACCAGCCUGGCCAAUGUGGUGUAACCCCGUCUCUACUAAAAAUACAAAACAAUUAGCCAGGCGUGGUAGCGGGCACCUGUAAUCCCAGCUACUCAGGAGGCUGAGGCAGGAGAAUCACUUGAACCGGGGAGGCGGAGGUUGCAGUGAGCUGAGAUCAUGCCACUGCACUCCAGCCUGGGCGACAGAGCAAGACUCCAUCUCCAAAAAAAAAAAAAAAAAAAAAAAAAAAAGGCCGGGUGCGGUGGCUCACACCUGUAAUUCCAGCACUUUGGGAGGCCAAGGCAGGUGGAUCACGAGGUCAAGAGAUCGAGACCAUCCUGGCCAACAUGGUAAAACCCUGUCUCUACUAAAAAUGCAAAAAAUUAGCUGGGUGUGGUGGUGGGCGCCUGUAGUCCCAGCUACUCAGGAGACUGAGGCAGGAGAAUCACUUGAACCUGGGAGGCGGAGGUUGCAGUGAGCCGAGAUUGUGCCACUGCACUCCAGCCUGGCAACAGAGCAAGACUCUGUCUCAAAAAAAAAAAAGAAAGAAAUCCUGGCUUUCUUUAAGCCACAGACUUCCUAGGCUGUGGUCCCAGCUCCUUGUCUGCCUGGUCCCUGUCACCUUGCAGUGCCACCACCCCCAGGGGCUCUGCUUGCUUCCAGUGGCUUCUGUAGCUUUGGCAACUGGCAGAUCUUUAUGGCAGUAGAGGUGCCAUCAUGGAGGAUGGGGCUUGGGUUUAUAACCCAACCAUCGAACGAACCAGCCUGUGGGGGCCUGGAGUGGAGCUGGUUUUGGGGAACCACAGGUGCGGAGGGUUCAUCUUCUCCUCUCUCCUUCUCCUUUCCUGACCCCUCUGACAGCUUCCAUGUUGGCCGUGGGUCAGGUGAAUGGAUGGAGCUCCGAGCGGGGCUCAGCCCAUUGGCCCGAGCGAGGCGCACACACCUGCAGCGUGGAUCAAGCGCGCUGUCUCCAGCAUCGCCCUGACCAUUCCAUGUGCUUUGUCCUAGCGUGUUCAUUCUUGACUUUCUCCACUUCAUUUUACUAAAAAGUUAAAUGCUUUAGGAAUUUGUGGCGUGUGGCCACUGACCGCCCCCCACCUCCUGCCGCUCCUCCAAGUUUGAGCUGAGAUGGUUCUAUGAGUCCUUGACAGGGGCCAAAGGGCACACCUCCUUGAACCUAGAAAGCUCCCUACACUCUCAGAGGACGCCUCUCCUGUGGAUUCAGCGCUGGGGCAGUGAAGGUGUCGGGAGCCAGCAGAGCAUGGUGCGUGCUGCCAGCUGCCGGCCAGCCGGGAUAGAGGAGAUGCCACUGGCCCUCCGUGCCCCCAGCCCCUCCCUCUUAAUCGAGGCUGCCCUUGCUGUCUGCAGAGGCCGCUCUGCAGGAUCCUCGUGUUGCGCGUGAUGUGUGGUGGCACAGCUGUGUCAAAGUCACAGUGUCUUUUCUGUCGUUCUAGUUCCAGGGUCACCCCCAAGAGGACAACAGGCAUCUGGAAGUGCUCUCUCGCCACUCUGGGUGCUUACUGUCUCUGGCUUGUUUCCAUCACUGGAAAUCACUUAGAGAAUUGUAGUGUUUUUGGUCCUUGAUAAAGCCUAGAAGACAUUUGUGAUGUUACAAAAUGGAAGUUUUCUUUUGUUUCUGUUUUUUAAGAUCUAAGAAGUUGUGAAUGUUGUUAAUCAUUUAGCCGUUGCAAUAAAUGUAGAGGAAAUGCA